UACGGAGGGGGCUAGCGUUAUUCAGAAUUAUUGGGCGUAAAGGGCGCGUAGGCGGCCCGGUAAGUCAAAGGUGAAAUCCCUCGGCUCAACUGAGGAACUGCCUUUGAAACUGUCGGGCUUGAGGCCGGGAGGGGGUAGCGGAAUUCCCAGUGUAGCGGUGAAAUUCGUAGAUAUUCGGAGGAACACCAGUGGCGAAGGCGGCUCACUGGCUCGGUACUGACGCUGAGGUGCGAAAGCGUGGGGAGCAAACAGG
rnacentral:rRNA from 1 species